rnacentral:rRNA from 1 species
UACAGAGGUCUCAAGCGUUGUUCGGAUUCAUUGGGCGUAAAGGGUGCGUAGGUGGCGAGGUUAGUCAGGUGUGAAAUCUCGGGGCUCAACCCCGAAACUGCACUUGAUACUGCCUUGCUAGAGUACUGGAGAGGAGAUUGGAAUUUACGGUGUAGCAGUGAAAUGCGUAGUUAUCGUAAGGAAGACCAGUGGCGAAGGCGAAUCUCUGGACAGUUACUGACACUGAGGCACGAAGGCCAGGGGAGCAAACGGG